rnacentral:misc_RNA from 1 species
GCAUCGUCAAAGAAUUCGUAAAUUUCUCUUCCAUCUCGCUCUCCCCCUUCUAUUUUGUCAUUUUAAUUAUCUCAGAUCUUUUUUUUUCUUGCAAAUUUAUUUUCGAUCUAUUUUAACCCAAAUUGCAAUUGGGAUGCAUAUCCCAUUUUUUUAUUGGGUUUUUAUUAAUUAGCCUCUGGAAUUGUGACCUAUGGAAUGGGUCUUGUGGUGCUUAUUUUCCCCUUUUCCAUUUUAUUCGUGGAAACUGUUAGUGUGGUUAGUAUGGCUUUCUUCGGAGAGAAGAGAACACUUCCAGUUUAAUUAGAGCAUUAGGUUAGAAUUAAGUAUGUAUUUGAUAUUUUGGAUGCUUCCUACAUGGCUUUUAUGCUCCCAUUUGAUAUCUAGA